CUCAGAGCGAACGCUGGCGGCAGGCUUAACACAUGCAAGUCGAGCGGGCCCUUCGGGGUCAGCGGCAGACGGGUGAGUAACGCGUGGGAACGUGCCCUUCGGUUCGGAAUAACUCAGGGAAACUUGAGCUAAUACCGGAUACGCCCUUAUGGGGAAAGGCUUGACUGCCGAAGGAUCGGCCCGCGUCUGAUUAGCUGGUUGGUGAGGUUAUGGCUCACCAAGGCGACGAUCAGUAGCUGGUCUGAGAGGAUGAUCAGCCACACUGGGACUGAGACACGGCCCAGACUCCUACGGGAGGCAGCAGAAG
rnacentral:rRNA from 1 species